rnacentral:rRNA from 1 species
CACGCAGGCGGUUUGCUCAGUCCCAUGUGAAAGCCCGGGGCUCAACCCCGGAAAUGCAUAGGAUACUGGCAGACUGGAGACAGGUAGAGGCUAGCGGAAUUCCUGGUGUAGCGGUGGAAUGCGUAGAUAUCAGGAAGAACACCUGUGGCGAAGGCGGCUAGCUGGGCCUGUUCUGACGCUCAUGUGCGAAAGCGUGGGGAGCAAACA